GGGUGAUGGUGGGGUGUUGGAGAGACACAAAGAGAGAGAGAGAGAGACGUGCGGAAUGCAAUCCGAUGUCGAGGUAUCUCGUUCCCUUUGGAUUGAGUUAAGUUCAAGUUGAAGGAUCUCGAAAAUUCAUCAUGCACAUUAAAACUUAUCUGGAGGGGGAAGAUGAAAGGAAGGACACCAAAGAAGGCAGGAAGGUUUAAUGCACGAUGAACAGAAGAAGUGUUUGGAAGGACGGACAAUAAUUUGGUUACAAGAUCUACUGCGCUUAUACCUAUCUCAAUCUUGUCCCCAGUUUCCCUCAGGUACACAAAGAAACCACAUUCCCAGGAGCAGGUUUCCUAUUUCUCAUCUUUCAGGACAGUAUUCCAUGGGGCUACAAAUAUGGCACAUAUGUAAUUUAAAAUGAGAAGCAUGAAAGCAAGAUUUGAGGUAUUUGGUGUAAAAUGCACUUUUAAAGAGACUAACCAACAAGUAUAUAUAUAUAUUAUUAAAGCCUCCUUCCUCUACCCUGUUGUGUUAAAAAUGAAAGGUAAUUCCUUUCAACAGGCCUGAGUGUUCCCUUUUGGUGGUUUAUUACAAAAUGUAUGUAUGAAGUACCUUAUCUUGCGUCAUCCCAUUGUAACCCUAGUCCCCGUGAACCAUCCUCUGUUACCAAAAUCACUUGCCUUCCAAGUUUGCAGUUCCAUUAAAAUUAUUACAUUGAUUGAUUUUGUUUAAAAAAAUGGAAUCGUUGAUGGUAUGAAAAAGCGAGAGAGAGUGAGAAAGAGAGAGUGAUGCAUUACAAUUAGAUAGAGUCCAAAAGAUGCAAUUAUCAUUGGGAAAAGGGCGGUAGUGUGUCUUUAAGAAACAAACCGUCAAUUCUGACACCGAGGGGCAAGGCUUAAAAAGAACAUUGCUGGAAGUAUAAGUAGCGACUCCAUCAGUCAGUAAAAUGGAUUCUCUACAUCUCUUGCAUCUCUUUGUGAAACGAGGAAUGCAGGCUUCCUUUCCAUUGAGCCAAGUACCACAAUUAUUUGUCUUGAACAACACAAAAAAAUCUUUAUGUUUACAGUCUCUUGGUUGACUCACGAGAGUUUAUUCCUGCCUGUUACACCCUGUGGAUUGUAUAUUGCACUGUUGUGAUUUCUUAACCAGUGUUUUCAAUGUAUGUAAAUAGUGUUUGUGCUUGGACAUAAUAUUAUUUCUUUGCUGUGCAAAAGAAAGAUGCAGCAAGCAAUGGAUCUAUUAACACUACUGUAUAUAAUACGUGGAUAUCUUUACAAGAAAUAUACAUGUUAUUUUUUAAAUAUUCGAGGAGAAGAAAAAAAAGGUGUGUCCCUAAAAUUUCAGUUUUGUGUGGCACAAGCUGAAACAAUAAAGUAUAUGUAAAAACA